UACGUAGGGUGCGAGCGUUGUCCGGAAUUAUUGGGCGUAAAGAGCUCGUAGGCGGCUUGUCGCGUCGACUGUGAAAACCCGCGGCUCAACCGUGUGGCUUGCAGUUGAUACGGGCAGGCUAGAGUUCGGUAGGGGAGACUGGAAUUCCUGGUGUAGCGGUGAAAUGCGCAGAUAUCAGGAGGAACACCGGUGGCGAAGGCGGGUCUCUGGGCCGAUACUGACGCUGAGGAGCGAAAGCGUGGGGAGCGAAUAGG
rnacentral:rRNA from 1 species